rfam:Rattus norvegicus chromosome 10, whole genome shotgun sequence.
GGGGAUUUAGCUCAGCGGUAGAGCGCUUGCCUAGCAUGCACAAGGCCCUGGGUUCGGUCCCCAGCUCCG